AGUGGCGGACGGGUGAGUAACACGUAAGAAUUUGCCUUUAGGAGGGGGACAACAACUAGAAAUGGUUGCUAAUACCCCAUAUGCUUUCGAGUGAAAUGGAUUUUUCCGCCUAGAGAGAAGCUUGCGGCUGAUUAGCUUGUUGGUGAGGUAAUGGCUCACCAAGGCGACGAUCAGUAUCUGGUUUGAGAGGACGAUCAGACACACUGGAACUGAGACACGGUCCAGACUCCUACGGGAGGCAGCAGUGGGGAAUUUUCCGCAAUGGGCGAAAGCCUGACGGAGCAAUACCGCGUGAGGGAUGACGGCCUAUGGGUUGUAAACCUCUUUUUUCAGGGAGGAAUCAAUGACGUGUACCUGAAGAAUAAGCAUCGGCUAACUCCGUGCCAGCAGCCGCGGUAAGACGGGGGAUGCAAGUGUUAUCCGGAAUCACUGGGCGUAAAGCGUCUGUAGGUGGUCCAAUAAGUCAACUGUUAAAUCUUGAGGCUCAACCUCAAAAUCGCAGUCGAAACUAUUAGACUAGAGUAUAGUAGGGGUAAAGGGAAUUUCCAGUGGAGCGGUGAAAUGCGUAGAGAUUGGAAAGAACACCGAUGGCGAAGGCACUUUACUGGGCUAUUACUAACACUCAGAGACGAGAGCUAGGGUAGCAAAUGGGAUUAGAUACCCCAGUGGUCCUAGCCGUAAACAAUGGAUACUAGAUGUU
rnacentral:rRNA from 1 species